UACGGAGGGUGCGAGCGUUGUCCGGAAUCACUGGGCGUAAAGGGCGUGUAGGCGGUUUGUUAAGUCUGGCGUGAAAGCUCUCGGCUAAACCGGGAGAGGUCGUUGGAUACUGGCGAACUAGAGGAUGGUAGAGGCGUGUGGAAUUCCGGGUGUAGUGGUGAAAUGCGUAGAGAUCCGGGAGGAACACCAGUGGCGAAGGCGACACGCUGGGCCAUACCUGACGCUAAAGCGCGACAGCAUGGGGAGCAAACGGG
rnacentral:rRNA from 1 species